UGGGGAAUAUUGCACAAUCGGCGCAAGCCUGAUGCAGCCAUGCCGCGUGUAUGAAGAAGGCCUUCGGGUUGUAAAGUACUUUCAGUCGGGAGGAAGGUGUCAAGGUUAAUAACCUUGGCAAUUGACGUUACCGACAGAAGAAGCACCGGCUAACUCCGUGCCAGCAGCCGCGGUAAUACGGAGGGUGCAAGCGUUAAUCGGAAUUACUGGGCGUAAAGCGCACGCAGGCGGUUGAUUGAGUCAGAUGUGAAAUCCCCGGGCUUAACCCGGGAAUUGCAUCUGAGACUGGUCAGCUAGAGUCUGGUAGAGGGGGGUAGAAUUCCAUGUGUAGCGGUGAAAUGCGUAGGGAUGUGGGGGAAUACCGGUGGCGGAGGCGGCCCCCUGGACAAAGACUGACGCUCAGGUGCGAAAGCGUGGGGAGCAAACAGG
rnacentral:rRNA from 1 species